UUUCCCCUUUCUCACUCCCUCUGUCAAAAAAAUUCCUCUUUCUCUCUCCAAUAUUGAAGCAGCUCCCGCGUGUUUUGCUCCUCUCAUUCUCACUCUUCUCCUCCAUUGAAGCGCACUUUGAUUUCUCCAUUAUUGAAGCGCACUCCGAGUUCUCCAUUAUUGAAGCGCACUCCGAGUUCUCCAUUGAAGCGCACUCCGAGUUCUCCAUUAUUGAAGCGCACUCCGAGUUCUCCAUUGAAGCGCACUCCGAGUUCUCCAUUGAAGCGCAGUCCGAGUUCUCCAUUGAAGCGCACUCCGAGUUCUCCAUUGAAUGAAGCGCACUCCGAGUUCUCCAUUAACGAAGCGCUCUCCGAGUUCUCCAUUGAAGCGCUGUAUGAGUUCUCCAUUGAAGCGCUGUCUGAGUUCUCCAUUGAAGCGCUCAUAGUUCUCCAUUAAAGCGUUUCAUCAUAUCUGGUUACCGUAAUUCCCAGCAAUAAUAAGCAUCGCCAAUUGAUUAUGACAUAAGUUUUCAUUCGUGGAGCAGCUCGGUCCUUAGCUCCCUCAACUCCAUUAAAAAAGCUCCGUCCUCAUUUCAAGAUGGUGUUUUGAUUCGGCUUAAAUCUGACAAUUUGGAUUUUAGUCCAAGGACCGCCCCGUAUGAUGUUGACGAGUUGAAUUUGGUUCGAGAACAAUGGGCGCAAUACUUUAGAAAUAAAUAUUUAUUGAAUGCUUAACUAUUAGCUUAGGUAGAACAACGUAAUAUUUUUAGUGUUGUUGUAUAUGUUGGAUAAAUUUAUACAAGUUUUUAUUUGUAAUGUGUUACUACUUCAGUUUUUAUAUUACGUCGUAUUAAUUUUUA